rnacentral:rRNA from 1 species
UACAGAGGGUGCAAGCGUUAAUCGGAAUUACUGGGCGUAAAGCGUGCGCAGGCGGUUUUGUAAGCCAGAUGUGAAAUCCCCGGGCUUAACCUGGGAAUGGCAUUUGGGACUGCAAGGCUGGAGUGCGGCAGAGGAGACUGGAAUUCCCGGUGUAGCAGUGAAAUGCGUAGAUAUCGGGAGGAAUACCGAUGGCGAAGGCAGGUCUCUGGGCUGACACUGACGCUCAUGCACGAAAGCGUGGGGAGCAAACAGG